rnacentral:tRNA from 1 species
GACCCUAUAACUCAGUCGGUUAGAGUGUGGAGCUAAUACGGCAGUGUUACUCCAAAGUCGCCAGUUCGAGCCUGGUUAGGGUCA